ACCAGGUUGGCCGAGUGGUUAAGGCGUCAGACUUAAGGCGUUAAAGAGAUCUGAUCUCUGAUAUAGAGACGAGGGUUCGAACCCCUCACCUGGUA
rnacentral:tRNA from 1 species